rnacentral:tmRNA from 1 species
GGGGGCGUAAAUGGUUUCGACGGGGGCAAGUUGCUCCUGAGAAGCGAGUCGAGGGGUCCUGGGCCCGCGUUAAAAAACUGGGAAAAAUUAUAAACGCAGACGAUAAUUUCGUUUUAGCUGCCUAAUUAGUGCAGCUCGUCCUACUUGGGAGUCCCACGACCUAAGAUAGGGCGUCAAUUAGUGGGGAACCGAGCUCUACAAAGCUUUGAGUAGAGAACGGAACUUAUGAAGCUACUGAAUCUAGAAACCUGUUUAUCGGUGUCUAGAGGAGGGAAUGUUAAAAGGUAAACUGCACUCGGAGAUGCUCAGGGGUUACUGCUUUCGGACAGGGGUUCGAUUCAUAAGAGUCGCCUUAUGAAGUGAUUCAUAAGUGAAAACUUGGCUUUAUCGGUGAAACCGAAACGUGAAGACGUCGGCAAUACCGAGUGGUAUGUGGGGAAACCCAACAGCCGUGUAUCGACUCAUAGGUUUCUAACCUUAAGAAAUAAAGCUUUCUUAAGUAAGAAAUACUAGGAUAGAAGUUUGAAACUAUAAUAUAGCUUCUAUAACACGCCAAGGCACUUAAAACCUAUAAUUUUUAAGUGCAAUAUAUAGUCAGUGCCAUUAGAAAUAGUGGAAUAGCAUGUCCCCUCGCCUCCACCA